rnacentral:rRNA from 1 species
UGGGGAAUAUUGCACAAUGGGCGAAAGCCUGAUGCAGCAACGCCGCGUGAGUGAUGAAGGCCUUCGGGUUGUAAAGCUCUGUCUUUUGGGACGAUAAUGACGGUACCAAAGGAGGAAGCCACGGCUAACUACGUGCCAGCAGCCGCGGUAAUACGUAGGUGGCAAGCGUUGUCCGGAUUUACUGGGCGUAAAGGAUGCGUAGGCGGAUUUUUAAGUGAGAUGUGAAAACCCUAAGCUUAACUUGGGGACUGCAUUUCAUACUGGAAAUCUAGAGUGCGGGAGAGGAGAAUGGAAUUCCUAGUGUAGCGGUGAAAUGCGUAGAGAUUAGGAAGAACACCAGUGGCGAAGGCGAUUCUCUGGACCGUAACUGACGCUGAGGCAUGAAAGCGUGGGUAGCAAACAGGAUUAGAUACCCUGGUAGUCCACGCCGUAAACGAUGAGUACUAGGUGUAGGAGGUAUCGACCCCUUCUGUGCCGCAGUUAACACAAUAAGUACUCCGCCUGGGAAGUACGAUCGCAAGAUUAAAAGCUCAAAUGAAUUGACGGGGUCAUAGCU